rnacentral:snRNA from 1 species
GGAUGGGAGGGCGACCUGGCUGCGACAUGUGUCACCCCACUGAUCGCCAGUGUUGAUUCAGCUGAUCUGGCUGGCUAGGCAAGUGUCCCCUUUCACCCUCGCCACAGCUCCUUGUGCAUCCCUCCCGAAGCUGCACACUGGUCCUCCGGGAUGACCUUCCCCGAUAGAGGAGGACUGUUCUCAGUCAAGGGUAUACGACUAGCUGUGCUCCCCUGCUGGGACCUCCAGACAAGCUCUCAGGGUCCAUUUGUAGGAGAACGUAGGGUAGUCAAACUUCCAAGACUCCAGACACUUCCGAAUGAGGUGCUGCAUAUGCCAGUCUGCCUUUCUUU